rnacentral:rRNA from 1 species
UGGGGAAUUUUGGACAAUGGGCGAAAGCCUGAUCCAGCAAUGCCGCGUGUGUGAAGAAGGCCUUCGGGUUGUAAAGCACUUUUGUCCGGAAAGAAAUGGCUCUGGUUAAUACCUGGGGUCGAUGACGGUACCGGAAGAAUAAGGACCGGCUAACUACGUGCCAGCAGCCGCGGUAAUACGUAGGGUCCAAGCGUUAAUCGGAAUUACUGGGCGUAAAGCGUGCGCAGGCGGUUGUGCAAGACCGAUGUGAAAUCCCCGAGCUUAACUUGGGAAUUGCAUUGGUGACUGCACGGCUAGAGUGUGUCAGAGGGGGGUAGAAUUCCACGUGUAGCAGUGAAAUGCGUAGAGAUGUGGAGGAAUACCGAUGGCGAAGGCAGCCCCCUGGGAUAACACUGACGCUCAUGCACGAAAGCGUGGGGAGCAAACAGGAUUAGAUACCCUGGUAGUCCACGCCCUAAACGAUGUCAACUAGUUGUUGGGGAUUCAUUUCCUUAGUAACGUAGCUAACGCGUGAAGUUGACCGCCUGGGAGUACGGUCGCAAGAUUAAAGCUCAAAGGAUUGACGGGGCUCAUAG